CCUCCUCUGUCCCCUUGCUCAGUGAUGUACUUGGUUACCUUGUCUUGUUUUUUCAGAUGUUCCAUUGGGUUCUUCCUGGACCACUGGCUGACAGCUCCUUUGUGUCUUUUGCUGCAAGCUGGAGCCCAGUGCUACUCCAAGGGUGGUCUGCAGGGGCCUGGAUGCAGCUUCACCUGGAACCUGGGUCUGGAAGAAUCUAAGAGCUGGCACACUGUUGGCCUCCUGCUGAUCAUGGAGGAUUGGGACUUCCUUGGCCAGAGCAUUAAAUUCAGAUGACACAUAACUCUUGCCGGAGGCUGGAUGUCCAACAUAAACGUGCCCACAGAUUCCAUGACUUGGGAAGGCCCGUUUCCUAGUUCAUAG